rnacentral:rRNA from 1 species
AUUAAAGAUAUUAUUCCCUUGUAGUGUAGUUUAAUAGCUAUCUACAUAAUAACUUAACAUUAAGUAUGUUAGUUUAUAUUUUAUAGUAUGACGCUGACAAUUUUGCUAAUAGUUGAAAAUGUUAGUAUUAGUAAUAUUAGUAUAUGUGCUAAAGGAACUCGGCAAAAAACCACUCAACUGUUUAUCAAAAACAUAGCUAUAUGAAUUAGUAUAUAGUUAUUUCUGCUCAAUGACUUAAAUAGCCGCAGUACUCUGACUGUGCAAAGGUAGCAUAAUCAGUUGGCUUUUAAUUAGAGUCUGGUAUGAACGAAAAUAUGGGUAGUAACUGUCUUAGCACAUUUUUUUGAAUUUGUUAAACAAGUGCAAAUACUUGUAACUUAACAAUAGACGAGAAGACCCUAGAAACUUAGACAUGUUUUUGUUGGGGCGACAGAAUUACAUUUAACUAAUCUUUUAAUACAUGACGCGAUGCUGAAAGAGUAAGUUACUCUAGGGAUAACAGCAUAAUUUCAUUAGUUUGUGACCUCGAUGUUGGACUAGGUACUAUACCCUUAAGGCAAGGAUAUAUUGUGCUCUGUUCGAGCAAAAUUACCUACAUGAUCUGAGUUCAGACCGG